UUCGUAGGGGGCUAGCGUUGUCCGGAAUCAUUGGGCGUAAAGCGCGUGUAGGCGGUCCGGUAAGUCCGCUGUGAAAGUCGGGGGCUCAACCCUCGGAUGCCGGUGGAUACUGUCGGGCUUGAGUACGGAAGAGGCGAGUGGAAUUCCUGGUGUAGCGGUGAAAUGCGCAGAUAUCAGGAGGAACACCAAUUGCGAAGGCAGCUCGCUGGGACGUUACUGACGCUGAGACGCGAAAGCGUGGGGAGCAAACAGG
rnacentral:rRNA from 1 species